CAUUACCACAAUUGGAGAGGAGGAACAGGAGCCCACACUCAACAAUUCAGAAACAGAUUCUUCCCUUCUGCCAUCAGAGGGUGGCCAGUAUAUGGAAGAAGUUGCCAGAGGAAGUGUUGAGGCAGGGAAGGAGAACGAAAAACAAGAAGGCACAUGUUUAAGCGACAAAACAAAGAAAACCAUGGGCGGUGCAUGCGUGGUGCGUAAAUGGAAAUGAGCGCCACAGAAGAUGACUGAGGAAUUCAAUUUGGCCCAAAGAAAGAUCAAUUUCCAAACUAAGUUUUGUGUUUGCUGACGCACAAAAGACCACAG